AGCUUAGCUCAGCUGGUUAGAGCGCCUGCUUCACACGCAGGAGGUCGCAGGUUCGAGUCCUGUAGCGC
rnacentral:tRNA from 1 species